ACUAGUGGUAUAUUGGAUGAUGUAUUUGCGAAGACAUUCCGUAUUCAUCAAUGAUCUCGAUCAUUAUCUUGGCAUCAAAAAUCUUGUGUGAGAUAAGUCGACCGUAUUCUGAUGGGCAACAACUCCUUGGAGAGUCGCAUAGCAAGGCUUGUCCACUCGCAUUUUGACGCCCUACCGAAACGCAGUAAACCAACAAUCCAUCCUGAUGGAUCGAGGCAAUGGGUACCCCUGAGCGGUAUUGUACUUGCCAUCGGUAAGCCGAGCACUUUUGAGUUAUGAGUUGGGCCGUCCUAUGGACGGAAACCAUAUACGUUUGGCUCCUCUGGACUCUUCCCCUUUCUGAUAGCCUGCGUGAAUUCCUCCUAUGGUCG
rnacentral:sRNA from 1 species